UACAGAGGUCUCAAGCGUUGUUCGGAUUCAUUGGGCGUAAAGGGUGUGUAGGUGGCGCGCUAAGUCGGGUGUGAAAUCUCGGAGCUCAACUCCGAAAUUGCACCGGAUACUGCGUGACUCGAGGACUGUAGAGGAGAUCGGAAUUCACGGUGUAGCAGUGAAAUGCAUAGAUAUCGUGAGGAAGACCAGUUGCGAAAGGCGGUGUC
rnacentral:rRNA from 1 species